rnacentral:rRNA from 1 species
GUGAGGAAUAUUGGUCAAUGGACGAGAGUCUGAACCAGCCAAGUCACGUGAAGGAAGACGGUUCUAUGAAUUGUAAACUUCUUUUGUGCAGGAAUAAAGUGGGUUACGUGUAACCUUUUGUAUGUACUGUACGAAUAAGGAUCUGCUAACUCCGUGCCAGCAGCCGCGGUAAUACGGAGGAUCCGAGCGUUAUCCGGAUUUAUUGGGUUUAAAGGGUGCGUAGGUGGAUUGAUAAGUCAGCGGUGAAAGUUUGCAGCUUAACUGUAAAAUUGCCGUUGAAACUGUCGGUCUUGAGUGCAAAUGAGGUAGGCGGAAUGUGUUGUGUAGCGGUGAAAUGCUUAGAUAUAACACAGAACUCCGAUUGCGAAGGCAGCUUACUGGGAUGCAACUGACACUGAUGCACGAAAGCGUGGGUAUCAAACAGGAUUAGAUACCCUGGUAGUCC